rnacentral:lncRNA from 13 species
CCACAUCCUCCCAAUCCCUGCACAACUCCCCUCCCCCAUCACUAGGACAGGUAUGAGUAAGGCCAUUGCAAUAGUGGCAAACACUGAGGCCCGCAGGGGCCCAAGGACUACCAUUCAGAUCCCUCCCAGCACAGCCCAGCACAGCCAGGAGGUCCAGGCAAGUCUGGGAAGCCCUGCCCUCGACUCAACGGAUGCACAGGUGACUAUCACCUGCCGAGCUCGCCGUGGCGCGGGAGGUGGGGUGGACCCUACUCUGCCCCGGAGCCCGCACCUCCGCACCAUGAACCGAGGCGCUCCGAGGGGUGCGCGGACGGCGCCGGGCGCUGAGGAAGUGAACAGGAUCCUACACACGCGGGACUAAACUAGAGCCCCAGAAUAGCGUGGGCCCGCGGGGCCGCAGCCCACGCCCGGGACAGCCGCCCGCAGUCUCCGAAAGGAGGGGCCGCGGGGCUCUGGUUUCUGCAUGUUUUGAUUGUCUCCAAGGAGCACAUUCCACCGUCAGAAUAAUAAACAACUUUUACAGAAGCACAUUGCUCUGCAACGCGGGGGACCAGCCCCGCGGAGAACGAGCGCCCUGCAGGCCUCGGCAGAGGAGGGCGUGGCCCCAACCCGGCUCCUGGACCCGCCCACGGACCCGCCCCAGCCACCAAGCCCCGGCACCGCGCACGCGCGCCUCUGCGGGUCGGCCGGGAAGCAACACUUUGCGGACAGCGCCCCCUGCCGUCCCAACGCGCCUGGGGCUCUGCGGCUGCGAACAGCUCGGACCAAACCCCCCAGGACCCCGCCCUGGGCUUGUUGACUUGCAGAGCACUCUCCAAGGCAAACUGAUGAUGUAUCCUGGGCUGCAGUUCUCAAGCUUGGCCCAAAUGAUGGAGGAUUUUUCUCAGCCCCUUUGCCGGGCACAUGGAAGGAGGCACGCUGUCCACUGGACCUGCCAGGCAGCUUCUGGCUUGCACUCCGGUGCAGAUCUCACAGCAGCUGCUACUACCGGCUCAGGCCCUGGUGGGAGAGGGUGUGUGAGUGUGGGGUGAGGCCAGCCAUUCCAAAUGCUGGUACAGGGGCGGGCUCCAUGCAGGGCUUACAGAUGAACAGGGUGUGUUGCCCAAGGGGAAUGUAGUGGUGCCCAGGCAGGGGUGCCCAUGACCCCAAAGCCCUGUAAGGGUGUUACAUCAUGCUCAUUAGCUCUUUUAGUCCCACCACCACAGCCCGGAAGAUGGUGGCAUGCUAACAGCCCAGUCACCCCCUUGCCCCAUUCCAGCCCACAGCUCUGGGGCUGGCUCAGCCCCAUUACUAAUUCCCAUCAAGUGAGGCAACUGCCCUCCAUCCACUGAGGGCAGAGGGCCACAGUGUUAUAGCCUUCUGAGUACCCAUGUACAGUGGGUCCCAAAUUCUUGUCCCACAUCCAAGAAGAAUGAGGUAGCACUAACAAUUGAAGGGUGAUGAAGGCAGAGAAUUUUACUAAGUGAUGAAAGCUAUCAGUGGAGAGGAGACAGGAAGGUGGUCUCCUCCAGGGUGGCUGAGUCUGGGGAUUUUAGAGGCACAGGAUAGGGGAGGGGCAGGUGGUAGGUAGUAUCAGAAAAGGCAACAUUCAAUUGGUCAAAAAGCAUUAUUCGGAAAGAACCAAUUGGGAAAGGGUAGGCAAAUAGGAACAGAAGUUUUCACUCUGGGUUUCAGGUUUCAUCCAGAACCAGCAGUCCAGUCUUUCAGGCUGUUUUGGGCUUGAAGGUGGGGUUUCACUGGGGACCUGCCCCUAUCAGCCUAAGCAUUUUGUCUUCCUCCUGCUGCUAUCACAAAUAAUUUUAUGAUUAUUAAUUUUGCCUCAGCUUCUUCCUUUAGCUUGACAUCCUCUUUGUGACUCAGCCAGACCUAUCAGCUCUGCACCAUCUCUUCCUUAGCCAGAUGUUGCCCUUAUCUGAAAGAUUCCUUCUCCAGAAACUUCCUCUCUCCCAAACUCCUCCAACUAACUGUGUGUGUUGGGGGUGAGGAGGAGGAGCUAGCAACUCAUUUAUUGAUCUGCAACCCUGCCAGGUCCUCCGCCAGGAGCUUGACCUACUCCAUCUUUUUUAAUCCUCCCAAAUCCCCUAAAAGGUAGACAGCAUCCUGCUUCCUCACAGAUAAGGAAAGGGAGGCUCUAACCACAGCAAUAGCUCUGACGUUCUACUCCAAAUCCAAAGCCUGCAUCUGACUCUCCGUCUCCUGCUUCACCUCCCCUCCAUUUCAUCCCCAGGACACUAAGUGCAGUUCGCAAUUUCCUGCCCACCUGUUCACCACUGGACAUAGGCCCUGAGGUCCCACAACCAGUGGGUACUGCAUGAGUAAACCCUAAACCAUCAACCAGAAAGGUUUUUUUGUUUUUGUUUUUUGAGACAGAGUUUUGCUGUUGCUAUGCAGGCUGGAGUGCAAUGGUGCAAUCUCAGCUCACCAUAACCUCCACCUCCCAGGUAGCCUGCCUCAGCCUCCCAAGUAGCUGGGAUUACAGGCAUGUGCCACCACACCUGGUUAAUUUUUUGUAUUUUUAGUAGAGAUGGGAGUUUCUCUGUGUUGGUCAGGCUGGUCUCAAACUCCUGACCUCAGGUGAUUCACCCACCUCAGCCUCCCAAAGUGCUGGAUUACAGGCGUGAGCCACCGAGCCAGGCCUAGAAUUUUCUAAUAGGAUCAUACCACUCCACUGCUUCAACCCCUUCCUUCAAUGACUCCACUGCUCACCAAAUUAAGCCCAAAUUACCCAAGGCCCUCGUUCGUCAUUGGCCACCCUCUCCACAACUCCCUGUGCUUUCCUACCUGAGUCCUCUCCAACUAUUAAAGCCUUCAGAUAAUUUAGCAGAAAAAUAGUUUCGUCAAAAAUCACCCGGCCCUAAGGUCAUCGCUGAGGAGAAUCGCUGAAUGCAAAUUACACUGACUGACUCCUGAUAAUAAUUGUAUGCCCUAAGGUAGCCAGCCUCUGCAACCUGCAAAUGUGGAAUCUCCAGUACACACACACACACACACGCACACAGACUGAAUUGGAAUCUGCAUCUUAAGUCUGAGCGCUGUGGCUCACACCUAUAAUCCCAGCACUUUGGGAGACCAAGGCAGGUGGACCGCUUGAGCUCAGAAGUUUGAGACCACCCUGGGAAACAUGGCAAAACCCUGUCUCUACCAAAAAUACAAAAAAUUAGCCAAAUCAGGUGGCACACGCCCAUGGUCCCAGCUAGUAGAGAGGCUGAGAUGGCAGAAUCACUUGAGCCUGGGAGGCGGCAGUUGCAGUGAGCUGAGAUUGUGCCACUUCACUCCAACCUAAGUGAUAGUGAAACCCAUCUCCAAAAAAAAAAAAAAACCUGCAUCUUACUAAGAUUCCUAAGACAGGUUCUCCACCUUGAAUCCCCUGGAGAACUUACCCAGCCUGGGUGCCAUCCCAGUUGUCAUUGGUAUGAGGAGGCCACCCAGUAACUGCUCACUCAUUUAAAUGUAGUCCAUUCAGUGACAGAAUACUACCCUGACAGAGUGCCAAAGACCCACCUCUCAUAGUGUGAAGAGGGUAACUUGUUAGAACCUGGCGGAGGCAGGGAGCAAUGUGACACAAUUAACUUCAGAAGUUCAUUCUCUUUGAAAAGCAAGUCACUUCUAGGGAUUUAUUCCAGAGAAACACUGUGCACUUUUGCAGUUAUAUGAAAAGAUAUAAAGCGGUCCCAAACUUUAUUUUUUUAUUCAAGUCACAUGGUUCCCUGAUAUGAGAUUAAACUACAGUAUACCCACAUAUGAUGAAAUACUAGGUAUUUGAGAAUGACAUGGAAAAACAUCCAAAAUACUCUGUUCAGGUAGAAAAAAAAAAAAAAAAAGUUGCAAAACACCACAUGUAAAAAGGGUAACUUCUAAAAAAUGAUAAAUGUUAGUAUAUGCACCGGGCACACACUAUUUUGAAAGGGAGGUAUUAAGAGACCUAGGCGUCUUCUUUUUAUCUAGUUUUCUGUAGACCAGAGUUGAAAUGCUCUUAGAAAACACAUGGAGGCUGGGCGCGGUGGCUCACGCCUGUAAUCCCAGCACUCCAAGGCCAAGGUGGGCAGAUCACGAGGUCAAGAGAUCCAGACCAGCCUGGUCAACAUGGUGAAACCCCAUAUCUACUGAAAUUAGCUGAGCAUGGUGGCACACCUGUAGUCCCAGCUAUUCAGGAGGCUGAGGCAGGAGAAUCAUUUGAACCCAAGAGGCGGAGAUUACAGUGAGCCGAGAUUGAGCCACUGCACUCCAUUCCACCCUGGGCAACGGAGUGAGACUCCAUCUCAAAAAAAGAAAAAGAAAACACAUGGAAUAAAGAAGGAACAGUCUCGAAAAGCUUAAAAAUG